rnacentral:lncRNA from 1 species
CGGCAUCGUGGAUUCGGCGUGAUUGACGGCGGUUCAUGGAUUCAGAUCGUGGGCUCGUGGAUUCGAGUGGCGUUCGUGGAUUCGGACGUGAGGGCGUGGACAACCCGGAGGAUUGUGCGAGAUUCAUAGGAGGUUAAGAGAGGUCGAGUCCGUAGAGUCGGUAAUCACCUUGUAAUCUUUUCUCCUAGUGAAUUAUUUUUUUCGCGUAUUGGUCCCGUGGGU